rnacentral:rRNA from 1 species
UACGGAGGGGGCAAGCGUUGUCCGGAUUUAUUGGGCUUAAAGGGUGCGUAGGCGGUCUUUUAAGUCAGUGGUGAAACCCUCCAGCUCAACUGGAGAACUGCCAUUGAUACUGGAAGACUUGAGUAUAGUUGAGGUAGGCGGAAUUGACAGUGUAGCGGUGAAAUGCAUAGAUAUUGUCAAGAACCCCGAUUGCGAAGGCAGCUUACUAACCUAUAACUGACGCUGAGGCACGAAAGUGUGGGGAUCAAACAGG